CCUACGGGUGGCAGCAGUGGGGAAUAUUGCACAAUGGGGGAAACCCUGAUGCAGCGACGCCGCGUGGAGGAAGAAGGUCUUCGGAUUGUAAACUCCUGUCGUUAGGGAAGAUAAUGACGGUACCCAACAAGAAAGCAACGGCUAACUACGUGCCAGCAGCCGCGGUAAAACGUAGGGCACAAGCGUUGUCCGGAAUUACUGGGUGUAAAGGGAGCGCAGGCGGAAAGACAAGUUGGAAGUGAAAACUAUGGGCUCAACCCAUAAACUGCUUUCAAAACUGCUGGCCUUGAGUAGUGCAGAGGUAGGCGGAAUUCCCGGUGUAGCGGUGGAAUGCGUAGAUAUCGGGAGGAACACCAGUGGCGAAGGCGACCUACUGGGCACCAACUGACGCUGAGGCUCGAAAGCAUGGGUAGCAAACAGGAUUAGAUACCCCGGUAGUC
rnacentral:rRNA from 1 species